AGUGAACGCUGGCGGUAGGCCUAACACAUGCAAGUCGAACGGCAGCACAGUAAGAGCUUGCUCUUACGGGUGGCGAGUGGCGGACGGGUGAGGAAUACAUCGGAAUCUACUUUUUCGUGGGGGAUAACGUAGGGAAACUUACGCUAAUACCGCAUACGACCUACGGGUGAAAGCAGGGGAUCUUCGGACCUUGCGCGAUUGAAUGAGCCGAUGUCGGAUUAGCUAGUUGGCGGGGUAAAGGCCCACCAAGGCGACGAUCCGUAGCUGGUCUGAGAGGAUGAUCAGCCACACUGGAACUGAGACACGGUCCAGACUCCUACGGGAGGCAGCAGUGGGGAAUAUUGGACAAUGGGCGCAAGCCUGAUCCAGCCAUACCGCGUGGGUGAAGAAGGUCUUCGGGUUGUAAAGCCCUUUUGUUGGGAAAGAAAAGCAGCAGGUUAAUACCCCGCUGUUCUGACGGUACCCAAAGAAUAAGCACCGGCUAACUUCGU
rnacentral:rRNA from 1 species